rnacentral:rRNA from 1 species
ACGGGAGGCAGCAGUGGGGAAUAUUGCACAAUGGGCGCAAGCCCGAUGCAGCGAUGCCGCGUGAGGGAAGAAGGUUUUCGGAUUGUAAACCUCUGUCAACAGGGACGAAAAUGACGGUACCUGUGAAGGAAGCUCCGGCUAACUACGUGCCAGCAGCCGCGGUAAUACGUAGGGAGCAAGCGUUAUCCGGAAUUACUGGGUGUAAAGGGAGUGUAGGCGGGACUGUAAGUCAGAUGUGAAAUAUGCCGGCUCAACUGGCAGACUGUAUUUGAAACUGCGGUUCUUGAGUGAAGUAGAGGUAAGCGGAAUUCCUGGUGUAGCGGUGAAAUGCGUAGAUAUUAGGAGGAACAUCAGUGGCGAAGGCGGCUUACUGGGCUUUAACUGACGCUGAGGCUCGAAAGCGUGGGGAGCAAACAGGAUUAGAUACCCUGGUA